rnacentral:rRNA from 1 species
UACGUAGGGGCAAGCGUUGUCCGGAUUUAUUGGGCGUAAAGAGCGUGUAGGCGGCCUGACAGGUCUGCUGUGAAAACUCGAGGCUCAACCUCGAGAUGUCGGCGGAAACCGUCUGGCUAGAGUCCGGAAGAGGAGAGUGGAAUUCCUGGUGUAGCGGUGAAAUGCGCAGAUAUCAGGAGGAACACCAAUGGCGAAGGCAGCUCGCUGGGACGUGACUGACGCUGGAGACGCGAAAGCGUGGGGAGCAAACAGG